UGGGGAAUUGUUCGCAAUGGGCGCAAGCCUGACGACGCAACGCCGCGUGGAGGAUGAAGGUCUUCGGAUUGUAAACUCCUGUUGAUUGGGACGAACAUCCAUCGGGCUAAUACCCCGGAGGACUGACGGUACCGAUUGAGGAAGCCCCGGCUAACUCUGUGCCAGCAGCCGCGGUAAUACAGAGGGGGCAAGCGUUGUUCGGAAUUACUGGGCGUAAAGGGCGCGUAGGCGGCCGUUUAAGUCAGACGUGAAAUCCCUCGGCUCAACCGGGGAACUGCGUCUGAUACUGGGUGGCUUGAAUCCGGGAGAGGGAUGUGGAAUUCCAGGUGUAGCGGUGAAAUGCGUAGAUAUCUGGAGGAACACCGGUGGCGAAGGCGGCAUCCUGGACCGGUAUUGACGCUGAGGCGCGAAAGCCAGGGGAGCAAACGGGAUUAGAUACCCCGGUAGUCCUGGCCCUAAACGAUGAAUGCUUGGUGUGGCGGGUAUCGAUCCCUGCCGUGCCGAAGCUAACG
rnacentral:rRNA from 1 species